GAUGAACGCUGGCGGCGUGCUUAAUACAUGCAAGUCGAACGAAGCGCCUCUCCCGAAGAUAGACCCAGCUUGCUGGGGAUUGAUUCACCUGAGGUGACUGAGUGGCGGACGGGUGAGUAACGCGUGGGUAACCUGCCUUAUACAGGGGGAUAACAGUUGGAAACGACUGCUAAUACCGCAUAAGCGCACAGUACCGCAUGGUCAAGUGUGAAAAACUCCGGUGGUAGAAGAUGGACCAGCGUCUGAUUAGCUAGUUGGUGAGGGAACGGCUUACCAAGGCAACGAUCAGUAGCCGACUUGAGAGAGUAAUCGGCCACAUUGGGACUGAGACACGGCCCAAACCCCUACGGGAGGCAGCAGUAGGGAAUAUUGCACAAUGGGGGAAACCCUGAUGCAGCGACGCCGCGUGAAGGAUGAAGUAUUUCGGUAUGUAAACUUCUAUCAGCAAGGAAGAAAAUGACGGUACUUGACUAAGAAGCCCCGGCUAAAUACGUGCCAGCAGCCGCCGUAA
rnacentral:rRNA from 1 species